GAUGAACGCUAGCGACAGGCCUAACACAUGCAAGUCGAGGGGCAGCACGAAGUAAGCUUGCUUACUUGGGUGGCGACCGGCGCACGGGUGAGUAACGCGUAUCCAACCUGCCCAUUACUCUGGGAUAGCCUUGCGAAAGUAAGAUUAAUACCGGAUGUUGUUUGAUUGCCGCAUGACGGUCAAACCAAAGAUUUAUUGGUAAUGGAUGGGGAUGCGUGACAUUAGGUAGUUGGUGAGGUAACGGCUCACCAAGCCUACGAUGUCUAGGGGUUCUGAGAGGAAGGUCCCCCACACUGGAACUGAGACACGGUCCAGGCUCCUACGGGAGGCAGCAGUGAGGAAUAUUGGUCAAUGGUCGGAAGACUGAACCAGCCAAGUAGCGUGAAGGAUGAAGGUUCUAUGGAUUGUAAACUUCUUUUAUACGGGAAUAAAACACCUUACGUGUAGGGUCUUGUAUGUACCGUAUGAAUAAGCAUCGGCUAACUCCGUGCCAGCAGCCGCGG
rnacentral:rRNA from 1 species